rnacentral:rRNA from 1 species
GUUUAACGCUGGCGGCGUGCAUAACACAUGCCAGUCGAACGAUGAAACUUAAAUGAUUUCUUCGGAAUGAACUUAAGUGGAUUAGUGGCGGACGGGUGAGUAACGCGUGAGUAACCUGCCUUACACAAGGGGAUAGCCGUUGGAAACGACGAAUAAUACCCUAUGAAACUAUCACUUCGCAUGAAGCGAUAGUCAAAGUGUUAGCGGUGUAAGAUGGACUUGCGUCUGAUUAGCUAGUUGGUGAGAAAAAAGCCCACCAAGGCAACGAUCAGUAGCCGGCUUGAGAGAGUGUACGGCCACAUUGGGACUGAGACACGGCCCAGACUCCUACGGGAGGCAGCAGUGGGGAAUUUUGCACAAUGGGGGAAACCCUGAUGCAGCGACGCCGCGUGAUUUAGAAGGCCUUCGGGUUGUAAAAAUCUUUUGUAUAGGAAGAAAAUGACAGUACUAUACGAAUAAGGGCCGGCUAAUUACGUG